GACGAACCGUCCUAACGUUGUUCGGAAUCACUGGGCUUAAAGGGCGCGUAGGCGGGUCAGCAAGUCCGGGGUGAAAUCUUUCGGCUUAACCGGAAAAGUGCCUUGGAUACUGCUGGUCUAGAGGGAGGUAGGGGCAUGUGGAACUUCCGGUGGAGCGGUGAAAUGCGUUGAUAUCGGAAGGAACGCCGGUGGCGAAAGCGACGUGCUGGAUCUCUUCUGACGCUGAGGCGCGAAAGCCAGGGGAGCAAACGGG
rnacentral:rRNA from 2 species